CCAGCAGCCGCGGUAAUUCCAGCUCCAAUAGCGUAUAUUAAAGUUGUUGCAGUUAAAAAGCUCGUAGUUGAAUUUCGGGUUUCCGGCGCUCCCGCUUCAUUGCGGGGACACGGGGACCCUCCUCGCCUUAGGGCGUCAUUUACUGUGAAAAAAUUAGAGUGUUCAAAGCAGGCAAUCGCUUGAAUACAUUAGCAUGGAAUAAUAAGAUAGGAUUACGUCUAUUUUGUUGGUUGCGGACGAUAAUAAUGAUUAAUAGGGAUAGUUGGGGGUGUCCGUAUUGAGCUGUCAGAGGUGAAAUUCUUGGAUUUGCUCAAGACGAACUACUGCGAAAGCAUUCACCAAGGAUGUUUUCAUUAAUCAAGAACGAAAGUC
rnacentral:rRNA from 1 species